GUUGAGUUUAAACGAUUUAUUUACAUCAAAUAGGUUUAUCAGUUCAUUAUGCCAGAUAAUUGGG
rnacentral:tRNA from 1 species